GGUAAGUUUGACCACCUAUCUAAACAAAAGAAGAGGAUAUAUAGAGCUGCUUGUUAUAGGCUUAGUAGCUCAGUUGCAUACUCUCUCAGUGAUAGCACCGUUUGACUUUGCUGAAGCCGAAUAUACAAAGGAAGAAAGAAAACCAAGCUAUAACCAUUCAUCAACACCAUGAAUUUCAAGUUCCUUUUGCUACUUUGUUUGAUCUUUGUGAUCUUGAUGCCCGACGCCGAGGGCUGGAGACGACGACGACGUCGCCGCAAAAGCCCAACCGGUUGCCACAAGUCUUGUCAUAAGUAUUGCGGCAUGAGAUGUAAUCCUUCCUGUCACUUUACUUGCUGGAAGCGAUGUUACUGGGUUAAUUGCCACGGAAAGCGCGAUGCGCCUGAAGAUGAGCCUGAAAUCCCGUACAAAGAUCUUGCACCAAGUAAAGAAUGAUAGGAAUCAUAGAAGUUCAGAUUAUUAAGGAUUAUCAAGGAAUACCAAUAAUCUUUUAGUAUGCACUGAAUGAAAUAUGUAACUUAAGAGUAAAUUGCAGUAAACAAUGAAACAUUCACUUGAAA